rnacentral:lncRNA from 1 species
CAGAGGACUACACCACCAUCACGUGUACAAACCAGAAACGGCACCUGGCACCCGCUGUCACCAGAUUUAUUUAAAGCUGAAGAAGACACUACAAGAGGAUUUCUUGCCUUUGUAGUGGCCACAGAGCUCCUGGCGAUGUGACCUCCAGAGACCAACGUGUCUUUUCUUUUGAGAACAGGAACAACAGAAUCUUAAGCAGGUCUGACAUUGGAUUGCUUCCACUCGGCAAUGGGCCACAGUGCAAAUUACAUGUCAUGCGUUGCCUAAUGACAGCAAGUCUUCUGAGAAUCCACGUCUCUGGACGAUUUCAUCACCAUGGGCUUACAGAACUAGAUGGGACAGGCCAGUCCGUCCCUGUUACCUCUUGGUGCAGCCAAGAAGCAGGGAAAUAAG